GCAAACACAGACACCUCACGUAGAGGACACGACUACAUGGAAUCUAACAAUUUUGUAUUUUUCUACGUUGUCCAACGUUAGCACUACACCCUGAUACCAUACAAUCUGCUUAUAAUGGUUUGCCAGGGAAAACGGACUACAGACCGUGGACAGGAGUUGUACAAGCUAGAGUAGACAGAACGAGCUGUAUUACACUAGAGGAAACUCGUCAGAAGCGUGGCACGUGAGCAUAAAUUAGUUAAAUAUCACUGUUGUUGUAGGCUGCAGAUUAUGGGCUAACACCAAGGAACGCACACGGCUUGCACCCAACCAUUUUCAGUCAACGUCUUUAGGGAGAAUCACUUUCGGGAGAAGAAAGGAGGUACAAUACUUCCUUGGGGCUAGCAUCUUCUCGCUUGGACAG